rnacentral:lncRNA from 1 species
UGCCCUUCCAUCCCAUUAUUAGAAGGAACCUCCUCUCUCAGAUGAGGCAACCUACAGCAGGCAAGGGGAGCUUCAGCCUAGAAAAUGCAGUGAAAAAGUGUGAAGCAAGAUUUCUGUAAGUACUCCAUCCCCAUGGAUGCCUCUGUGAUCGUGAGAAAAGAAGACUGUGGUGAACUGAAGAGGCAUGACUCUGCUUCAGUGACAGAAUCUAUAGGAUGACAACUUCUCAAUUAUAAACAGAGCACAGGAAGAUAUGCUUAGGAGGCAGUUCUUUCAGAUGAGCUAAUUAAGAAUGUUCUGGCUUUUUUUGUGUGUGCACCCAAGUGAACAGCACUAUUAAGGCAGAGGGAACUAGACAGUUGUUAAGUACCAUUCACAGUUCGUUCAGGUGAUUAAGUUUGGUUCCAAGACAAUGGUUCAAACUCAGCAUGAAAGCAUUUAAUUCAG